AAGUUUAUAUAAAUGAUUUGUACAGUUGUGUUAUCAAGUAGUGUUAUUGGUGAACUCGAUGGUGAUCGCACGGGCACUGGCGCCGUCGCAGCACCAGAGAAAUCAGUUAAGAACAACAAAAACAACAACAACACAUCGUUGUCGCAAGGAAAAGUAGACGAAAUUGAUUGCUCUAUGUCAGCCUUGCAAUUAUCUUUUGGUGUCCUUGAAAUUGCCGAAUCGCCAUUAGUACGUGUUCGCAAUCAGCUGAAAGAAUUGAUUGGCAAACAAAACAAAUUCUACAUUGAUGUGUCCAAGGAGAAAUAUAAGCUGGAUUGCAGCGAAGUAUCUAAACUAUACGAUAUGAUGAGCAACGUGAAGCUCUACAAAGAUAAACUGAUUAAAAUCAAAAAGGAUAUGCAGAGCAUUUAUCAGCGUUCCAAAGUCAUCAAGAAACGAGCUGCACACAUCGCAGCCUGUAAGCAACGCGAACACCAGCGCAAAGUCGAAAAGCAACAGCACGAGGAGUCGCUCAUUGGCAAUCCGUUGCCAUAGGGCCAUAGAUAUAACAAGCUUUAUAGUUACUUAUAUAUAUUAAAACUAGUUAUAAUCGGGCAGUACUUAAACAUAAUGAGUACUGCCAAGGCUGACAAGACUCUAAGCUAAGAGCUAAAUAAACAUUACAUCCAAAACGAAUACACAUGAUAAAGGACAAUUUACAAACAAGAGAAUAAAAAUACAUUUUCUUUGUACCUCUUCUGUUUCACGAUCUGCGGCGCAUAAACCUAGCAAAAGCAUGCACUAGUGUAACAAAAAUAUUGGAUGUGAGAGGGAUUUGUUGCUAGCAUUACUAAAAUUAGAGUACAAUUACAUAUAAUAAUUAUAAUUACAAUCGAGAU
rnacentral:misc_RNA from 1 species